rnacentral:rRNA from 1 species
ACUCAAAGGAAUUGACGGGGGCCCGCACAAGCGGUGGAGCAUGUGGUUUAAUUCGACGCAACGCGAAGAACCUUACCUGGGCUUGACAUGCUCACGAAACCUCUGGGAAACCUGAGGCCUCCUUCGGGACGUGAGCACAGGUGCUGCAUGGCUGUCGUCAGCUCGUGUCGUGAGAUGUUGGGUUAAGUCCCGCAACGAGCGCAACCCCCGCCCCCAGUUGCCAGCGGGAGGCUAACUACCUCGCCGGGGACUCUGGGGGGACUGCCGGUGCCAAACCGGAGGAGGGUGGGGACGACGUCAAGUCAUCAUGGUCCUCACGUCCAGGGCCACACACGUGCUACAAUGGGCGGUACAGAGGGCCAGCGAGCUAGCGAUAGCGAGCCAAUCCCAGAAAGCCGCCCUCAGUGCGGAUCGGAGGCUGCAACCCGCCUCCGUGAAGCCGGAAUCGCUAGUAAUCGGGGAUCAGCCACGCCCCGGUGAAUACGUUCCCGGGCCUUGUACACACCGCCCGU